rnacentral:lncRNA from 1 species
GCCUGCUAGGAUCCACCCCUUAAAGGUUCCAGCGCUUCCCGCUGAGCCACCUCCCCUAAGGUUCCUGCCCGGGAUUAGAGAUGGCAACUCACCGGCCGGCUGAGUGAAACGGAGCCUCAAGAGAAGCACUUCUGUGCAGAAAUGGCGGAAUAUGCUCAGGCUUCGGACAGUAAUGAGGCAGCAGGAACACUUGCUUAUGUUUAAGGAAUUUCUCACGGGUCUACUUCACCUGAUAAUGGACACAAAUACUCCCUCUACCUUAACCCGAGAAGAGCCCGAACCCUCAAAGUGAGGCGAGCUUGGGUGGAAGGAGGGGAAACAGAUGGAGAGGAGCCCUG